GAUGAACGCUGGCGGCGUGCCUAAUACAUGCAAGUCGAGCGAACAGAUGAGGAGCUUGCUCCUCCGACGUUAGCGGCGGACGGGUGAGUAACACGUGGAUAACCUACCUAUAAGACUGGGAUAACUUCGGGAAACCGGAGCUAAUACCGGAUAAUAUAUUGAACCGCAUGGUUCAAUAGUGAAAGACGGUUUUGCUGUCACUUAUAGAUGGAUCCGCGCCGCAUUAGCUAGUUGGUAAGGUAACGGCUUACCAAGGCAACGAUGCGUAGCCGACCUGAGAGGGUGAUCGGCCACACUGGAACUGAGACACGGUCCAGACUCCUAUGGGAGGCAGCAGUAGGGAAUCUUCCGCAAUGGGCGAAAGCCUGACGGAGCAACGCCGCGUGAGUGAUGAAGGUCUUCGGAUCGUAAAACUCUGUUAUUAGGGAAGAACAAAUGUGUAAGUAACUAUGCACGUCUUGACGGUACCUAAUCAGAAAGCCACGGCUAACUACGUG
rnacentral:rRNA from 1 species